GCAGAUGUAUGUAUGUGUGUGGGCGUGAUAUAGAGAGAGAAAGGGAGGUAGACAUCUCCAAGAACUCAAGCCCAAAUUCAGCAUAUUGAAGAGGCAAAUGUUAGCAAAUUCCAUGCAUGAACUCUAAAUUAUGAUCAUCUUAACUUUACAAUCAUAAGGUGUCAAAGAAGAAGGCUCGAAUAACAAGAAGGCACAAGGUGUUCAAGAUCGAGGUGCGUUACCUGUACAAUUCGAAUUUAUUAGUAUUAAUGCUCGUUUUAAUUGUCGUGAUCAUAAGCGAUCACUUUGCCUCUCUACAUCAACACACAGCCCAUGCCGGUGUGCAAGGCAUCGCAGUACACGACAAAGUCCUUAAUACCCUCAAGUAGAGUUAGCACUAGAGCAUUGCUCAACUUGUGCUUUAGAAUCUCGAAGGAUUCUUGCUGUUUUGAACCCCAGUUGAACUUAAUAUUCUUACGGGUCAAGGUAGUCAAAGGAAUGGCUAUCCUCGAAAAGUUCUCAAUGAACCUCCUAUAGUAACCGGCCAAUCUUAAGAAACUAUGGAUUUUAGAAGGCGUCUUUGGUGCUUCCUAAUUAAUAAUGGCUUCUAUCUUAGAGGGAUCCACAUGGAUACCAUGCUCGCUAACCACGUGUCCAAGAAAUUGGACUUCUCAAAGCCAAAACUCACAGUUGGAGAACUUAGGGGCAUUUUGGUCAUUACAUACAUAGUUUGAGAACUUAUUUGAAAAUCCGAGUUAUAAUCAAGUACCUACUAUGAAAAUGUUUUAAAUAUGUAAUAUUAUCAGUUGGUAUCAA